rnacentral:rRNA from 1 species
GACGAACGCUGGCGGCGUGCUUAACACAUGCCAGUCGAACGGUCAAACGCUUCGGAGGGGUUCAUUGGGGUACGGGUGGGUAGGACGUGGACAACCUGCCCCCGGCUCUGGGAUACCUGCAAGACAUUGGGGCUACUUCCCGAAUAUCACCUCAUCCCUCAUGGGGGGUGGUUCAAAGGUUUUGCGGCUUGGGAUGGGCCCGCGGCCUAUCAGCUUGGUGGUGGGGUCGUGGUCUCCCAAGACGGCGGCGGGUAGGCGGCCUGGGAGGGGGACCAGGCACCCUGGUCCUGAGGCACGGCCCAGUCGCCUAUGUGAGGCAGCAGGGGGGAGUCUUGCGCAACGGGCCGACGCCUGACGCGGCGACCCCGCGUUCGUGAUGCCGUCCUUCGGGUUGUAAACCUCUUUCAGCAGGGACGAAGCGAAAGUGACGGUACCUGCAGAAGAAGCACCGGCCAACUACGUG